rnacentral:tRNA from 1 species
GGUCGCGUAGCUCAGCGGGAGAGCGCCUGCUUCACACGCAGGAUGUCACAGGUUCAAUCCCUGUCGCGACCA